AUUGACCGCUGGCGGCAGGCCUAACACAUGCAAGUCGAACGCGUGGCGGACGGGUGAGUAAUGUCUGGGAAACUGCCUGAUGGAGGGGGAUAACUACUGGAAACGGUAGCUAAUACCGCAUACCAUCAGAUGUGCCCAGAUGGGAUUAGCUGGUUGGUUGGGUAACGGCUCACCAAGGCGACGAUCCCUAGCUGGUCUGAGAGGAUGACCAGCCAAACUGGAACCUGGACACGGGCCAUAAUCCUAAGGGAGGCAACAGUGGUGAAUAUUGCACAAUGGGCGCAAGCCUGCUGCAGCCAUGCCGCGUGUAUGAAGAAGGCCUUCGGGUUGUAAAGGACUUUCAGCGGGGAGGCGUUACCCGCAGAAGAAGCACCGGCUAACUCCGUGCCAGCAGCCGCGGUAAUAC
rnacentral:rRNA from 1 species